rnacentral:rRNA from 1 species
AUCACGUCAAGCAACCUUGAAUUAACAAGUAAAAACGCAGUGACCCCUAGCCCAUAUGUCUUUGGUUGGGGCGACCGCGGGGGAAAAUUAAGCCCCCAUGUGGACUGGGGGCACUGCCCCCACAGCCGAGAGCUACAGCUCUAAGCACCAGAAUAUCUGACCAAAUAUGAUCCGGCGAACGCCGAUCAACGGACCG